AGGCGGCGCCAAUACUGCAAGUCGAGCGGACAGAUGGGAGCUUGCUCCCUGAUGUUAGCGGAACCUGGAGCUUGCUCUGGGGGAUUAGUGGCGAACGGGUGAGUAACACGUGAGCAACCUGCCCCUGACUCUGGGAUAAGCGCUGGAAACGGCGUCUAAUACUGGAUACGAACAAGAACCGCAUGGUUACUUGUUGGAAAGAUUUUUUGGUUGGGGAUGGGCUCGCGGCCUAUCAGCUUGUUGGUGAGGUAAUGGCUCACCAAGGCGUCGACGGGUAGCCGGCCUGAGAGGGUGACCGGCCACACUGGGACUGAGACACGGCCCAGACUCCUACGGGAGGCAGCAGUGGGGAAUAUUGCACAAUGGGCGGAAGCCUGAUGCAGCAACGCCGCGUGAGGGAUGACGGCCUUCGGGUUGUAAACCUUGCAAAAUAUAUGCGCGUCGUGCGUAUGCGUGACCAGCAGCCGCGGUAAUACGUAGGGCGCAAGCGUUAUCCGGAAUUAUUGGGCGUAAAGAGCUCGUAGGCGGUUUGUCGCGUCUGCUGUGAAAUCCCGAGGCUCAACUUCGGGUCUGCAGUGGGUACGGGCAGACUAGAGUGCGGUAGGGGAGAUUGGAAUUCCUGGUGUAGCGGUGGAAUGCGCAGAUAUCAGGAGGAACACCGAUGGCGAAGGCAGAUCUCUGGGCCGUAACUGACGUUGAGGAGCGAAAGGGUGGGGAGCAAACAGGCUUAGAUACCCUGGUAGUCCACCCCGUAAACGUUGGGAACUAGUUGUGGGGUCCAUUCCACGGAUUCCGUGACGCAGCUAACGCAUUAAGUUCCCCGCCUGGGGAGUACGGCCGCAAGGCUAAAACUCAAAGGAAUUGACGGGGACCCGCACAAGCGGCGGAGCAUGCGGAUUAAUUCGAUGCAACGCGAAGAACCUUACCAAGGCUUGACAUAUACGAGAACGGGCCAGAAAUGGUCAACUCUUUGGACACUCGUAAACAGGUGGUGCAUGGUUGUCGUCAGCUCGUGUCGUGAGAUGUUGGGUUAAGUCCCGCAACGAGCGCAACCCUCGUUCUAUGUUGCCAGCACGUGAUGGUGGGAACUCAUGGGAUACUGCCGGGGUCAACUCGGAGGAAGGUGGGGAUGACGUCAAAUCAUCAUGCCCCUUAUGUCUUGGGCUUCACGCAUGCUACAAUGGCCGGUACAAUGGGCAGCGAUACCGUGAGGUGGAGCGAAUCCCAAAAAGCCGGUCCCAGUUCGGAUCGUAGUCUGCAACUCGACUACGUGAAGUCGGAGUCGCUAGUAAUCGCAGAUCAGCAACGCCGCGGUGAAUACGUUCCCGGGUCUUGUACACACCGCCCGUCAAGUCAUGAAAGUCGGUAACACCUGAAGCCGGUGGCCUAACCCUUGUGGAGGGAGCUGUCGAAGGUGGGAUCGGUAAUUAGGACUAAGUCGUAACAAGGUAACCGGGACAGAUGAUUGGGGGAAGUCGUAACAAAGAAGCCAAA
rnacentral:rRNA from 1 species